rnacentral:rRNA from 1 species
GAUGAACGCUGGCGGCGUGCUUAACACAUGCAAGUCGAGCGAAGCAGUUAAGUUGAUUUCUUCGGAUUGAUUCUUAACUGACUGAGCGGCGGACGGGUGAGUAACGCGUGGGUGACCUGCCCCAUACCGGGGGAUAACAGCUGGAAACGGCUGCUAAUACCGCAUAAGCGCACAGAGCUGCAUGGCUCGGUGUGAAAAACUCCGGUGGUAUGGGAUGGGCCCGCGUCUGAUUAGGCAGUUGGCGGGGUAACGGCCCACCAAACCGACGAUCAGUAGCCGGCCUGAGAGGGCGACCGGCCACAUUGGGACUGAGACACGGCCCAAACUCCUACGGGAGGCAGCAGUGGGGAAUAUUGCACAAUGGGGGAAACCCUGAUGCAGCGACGCCGCGUGAGCGAAGAAGUAUUUCGGUAUGUAAAGCUCUAUCAGCAGGGAAGAUAAUGACGGUACCUGACUAAGAAGCCCCGGCUAA